rfam:Triticum aestivum genome assembly, contig: Triticum_aestivum_CS42_TGACv1_scaffold_436035_5DL
UAUAUACUUCCUCCGUCUCGAAUUACUUGUCGUGGAAAUGGAUAAAAAUGAAUUUAUCUAGAACUAAAAUACGUCUAGAUACAUCCAUUUUUAACACAAGUAAUUUCAGACAGAGGGAGUAUAUU